CGGCGUGAGGGGAGGACAGCGAGGGCGCAGAAGCAGCUAGGGCUGAGGGGACCCUUAGUUUGUGUGUUGUCCCUGUUCCCCAGAGGGAAAGAAUGGAGGGCACGGGCCUCGGCUCUGCGAAGCGGUGCGGACCACGUUCUUCCCGCUGGGAAGCGGGGACGGAGUCGCCGGAGCCCGGGGUCGAGGCAGCUGAGCGGCGGUAUUUUCCCUCACGUCCCCGGUUGUAAACGUGGGUGCCGCACGCUCAGCAGUACUGCAGGUGACGACGAGUGCCAUCAGAAGCCCUGCCGGCCCCGCUGAGGCCACUGGGGAAGUCGGACGGGCCGCAGUCAGCCCCGCGCCGUCCUGACUCCCUCAGAGCCUGGGGACGCCACGUGCCACAGAAGUGUUCGGAUUCGUCACUGGAAGACUGAACAGUGGUGUCCGAGCGCGUGCUCCGCCAUGGCGCGAAAAUCUUUGAUGCUUCAAACCACCUGGGAUGUUGUUAAAAAUACCUAUUCCCGGGCAGCCAGAAACCGUGUCAUCGGUCAGGAGCGACGCCGAGACUUAAUCUGUCACUCAGCGGGUUCACCAGCGAGCCCGAGUGAGUCGCCGUCGCCGUGGGUGUCAUGACGAGGCGUCUGGGCAGCUUCGGGGAGUCGGUGGAAGUUCGGGGGGGUUCUCCACGUGCCAUGCGAGAAGGGAUGGCCGCGACGCCGGACCCCGCCGUCCUUCAGCAGGCAUCGAUUGAGUGCUUGCUGAGGGCCAGAGACUGUUCUAGAUAGUCCCAAAGUUCUGCCAUUGUAGAGCUGUCAUUCCUGUGAGGGCAGGCAAAGGAAUAAAUGCUGCCCGCCGCCGCGUGUCAGUGCGGUGGAGGCGGAGCAGGCUGACUGAACGAGGGUCGUAGACGGUGACAGUGGUCUUUGUGUCUCUGCCGGAAGCCGUCACGAGGCUGCGCAGCGGACGAUGUCUGCGAAAGGCACGCGGGAGACGCCGCCAGCUGCUCCGUGUGACGGACAGUGUGGCGAGUAAGGAGACCUUUUAUACAACUUGUCAAGUUCUCACUACAGAUAUCAUUGGAAUUGCGAUUGGAAUGGCAUUGAAUGUAUUGGUUACCUUUUGGAGAAUGGUCGUCUUUAUAACCUUCUCAUACACCAACGUGGACAUGUAGCCGCCGGAGACCUUCGAACCCUCCAGUACGAAAGCUAACUGGUUGUGUUCUCACUACGAAAGCUUAAAAUCAGAGAGCUGCCUGGCGCGGUGCUGGGUGACGGGGACGCGGAGAUGAAUGAGACACGGUCCCUGCCCUCCAGGACCGCUCGGUCUAGUGGGAGUUCGACGCGGGCACAGGUAAUUACGACAGUGUGCUGCGCUCUCCAUUGGAGGUACGUACAAGGAACUAGUGGGGUUCGGAAGAGGAACCAUUCGACUGAGUCUGGAGGUGCUAGAGGUGCGGGGAACUGGGGCUUAAGUUGACUCUUAAGUAAAGGUUGAUCAGACGGAAAGCGGAAAAGGACAGUCUAAGAACAGGCGUGGACGCCGGACAGAGGAUGAGUUGGGGGAAGUGCGCGCGGUCCCUGAAACGCACGCCAGGAAUCGGGCCUAACACAGUGUGCCACGAAGUCUGGGUAAGGCGGGGAUGCUCCUGCUUCGCUCUGGCAGCAGCAUCAAGCACGUUCUGGGAGAUUUUCACAUCUGGACCGGGGGAGCAGUUAGAAAGAUGCUGUAAGAGUUACCGUGAUAGAUGGUCUACGGCCAAAAGGAGCGGGAGUGGAGAUGGGGCAGCCUUUCAAAUCGGGGGGCACGAAAACGCAGACGUAGUAGACCAUGGGGAAAUUAAGGUGGUGAGGAGGGGAAGUCAGGGCUUCCAGCCUCUGGGAAACGAGCUUCCCCCCGCCGCCACCCCUGGCCUUGACAAAGAUCUCGCGCCCUUCAGAUGGGUGCUGCUGCUGUGGGAGCCUUCUCUACCGGGGCCGCACAGGUUUUUUGUUUCCUUUGAAAUGUUGAUGCUCAGGAAGACACGUGAACAGCUUCAGAGCGCUUACAGUGUCACUAAGUUCCUGGUCCUUCUCAUUGGCGGCAGGGCUACUACCAUCACUACACAUGCCAACCAAAGCGUUUUUUUUUCUUUUUUUUAAACACAUGUAGGGGCUUUUCUAUCUAAAACCCACCCAGGGAAGAAACGGCCUUAGUUGUCAUUCUCAAUUGCUUUCUUUUGCUUACGGAUUUAAAAACACUUAUGGUUACGUCUUCAAGUAAAGAAUAUAUUAAUUAAAAAUCUAAACUUAUGAAAUGUUUUCUUCUAUUCUGAAAGCCAUACAGUGUAUUUUGGAGAAUUCCCCACUUCAGACUCAGAGCAGCAAUGCUGGGGAUUCAGAGGGUGGCUUUCUGUGGCCAGUCCGCCUCACGGGAGAUUGUAGUUAAGUAGGCCUCAUGCAGUUUCAGUCGCAACAGGCAGGGUUGGGAGAGGAAGUCCUGAGUGGGACAGCAAAGCAGCACAGUGAGAAUCGGCCUUGGCACCAGAUAGUCUGGGCCCAGAGCUGCUGACACUUGCCGACGUGGCCUUCAGCACAGCUUUUCACCUGAGACUGUUUCCCUAAUGUGAAAUAGGGAUGAUAUCUUUUUGCGACGAUUUUGGUGAAGGAGGGAGGAAAUGUAAGGCUUUAAAGGCUUAGAACAGGUCUGGAAUAUGUUAAAUGCUGUGUCACCUGUAGUUGCUGCUGCUGAUGUUGGCUGUGAGAAGGAUGAAGACAGUUAACUAGAGGGAUGCUUGGUGUUUCAUGUCAGUGAGGAUGUUGGGGUUAGGGAGAGAGAGAAACCAGUCUCAAGGUGGUCGACGGCAUGCUGGCGUGAGGUCUCUCCACCCUUCUCUCUCUGCCGAAGUUUGGGAAAGCCGAUGAAUGCUGUCCUCUCUGAUCACUAACGUGCUGCCUUUGUUCUUAUUUCCAAAUAGAAAGGUGUUGAAAAGUCGUUACACCUGAACACAGGUGAUCUUAAAAACAGAUGCUUUGGAAUUGGUCAAAACUGGAUUUGAAAGCUGACUCCACUACUACCUGUGUGAUCUGAGGCAUGUCACUUAACCUCACUGAACCUCAGUUUCUUCUUCACCUAAUCUAAUAAUUGAUUUGCAGGCUUUCCAUGAGGACGUUUGUGAAGGGUAUGCCAUAAACACGCUAUAUAUCACAGCUAUUAUUGUUAGUUCUUGGGACACUCACUGCGUGACAAACAGCAGGCCCUGGUGGCUGGGAGGAUUUCAUGGACCUAACAGCGACCUGGACUUGUGCUGUCCUGAAGAAGUCCUGCUCGGAUGGAUAUAAUACAACCUGCUAAGUGUCCCAGCACUUAGCAGGUUGUAUUAUCAUUGUCCGUGUCUACGGCUGUCGUCUGCCAGACUCCAAAUUCCUUACGGGCCGGGACAGUGCCCUGCUCAUCUGUGUAUUCGCGGUGCCUAAUCCAGUGCACAUUGUAGGCCUCAUUAAAUGUUUGUUGAAUGAAAAAAUGAAUCAUCAACAGACAUUAAUUGGGCGCCUGCUCUGUGAUCUCCAUGGGCUGAACUUCUCCUGGCCGCUCACCUGCGACGUCCAAGCUGUCUACGACAUGCUUUCUGCUGAGGCUCAGUGCUACCUGCUCACUCUGUCGCUGAGGACUUGCCCGUGUAGCGCAAGGGUAGUGGAUAUGCUUAAUCUCGAUGCCAUCUACACCUGACGGCGCUGCCCGCAGCGCCACAGGAAACGGCUUCGCAAGCCAGGCCUCAGCUCAGUGGGAAAGGGUGUCGUAGCUACCCAGCGACGUUUGCUGAGGGGGGGAGCAGGGGGACCUGUGGCACAAGUACCACACGUGUCACACGUGAAAUACUGCGGUUGCUAUGCCUGCACGUUAGCCACGGCUACUUGCACAUGUUGCAUGGCUGCCAUGGCAGCUGCCUGCUGCCCCUCAGGUCAGCUGCGCCCUCACCUACCCCGGCAGGCCGGCCCCCGCCGUGUGUCCACCACUGAACAGGUUGUCGUUAUCUUUUCCUUACCGUCCUUAAUCAUUAUUGCCCCAUGAGAAGCCUCCCUUCGGUAAGAUGUGACAACCAGAACACAAGUGAAAGUGUCGUCGGGGCCCUGCAGUGAGCCCCAUGUGCUCUGCUUGAACGUGGAGAACACAGUGUGCUCGCAGGCUGCGGUGGGGACUGACCAGCGAGCCCUGUAGAUGUGGGGACAGAUGACCGCGGACGGGAUGAGAUCCUGACAGGUGAUGCAGGUAGGGGUGGGAGAGCGAAUGGGCUCCGGCCCCAGGCCCGGCCACCGGAGCGUGGAGACGGGUGAGUGGUGCACAGGAACAUGGCCAGGGAUGGGUUAUGGAGGCAAAGCAGUGUUUCUAAGGAAUGUCCAAAAUACACGGCCCGAAGGCGGGAGUGGGGCCGUGAACCAGAGCACUUACAGCAUGUGUUUCAAACUUGACUAGAAACUCAGGAAGUGUUCCUGGGGCGGCAUUACGAGGAACGUUUGGUUGCCCAGGACUGACCUUGACUGACGGGCGGAAAGCUAGCAAGAGAGGAGUUGCAGAGAAAGGGAUUUGAGAAUCCAGACUGGACAGAGAAGUUGGGUCAGAAGUGAGCUGAGAGGCUGCAGAGAGGCCUUGGCGUCAUGGCGAUGCGUGUAGAGUACUUGGAAAACUGGACCUGUAGUCAGUGGGUUUUGGAAUGAGAUUUGCGAACUGCAGUGGUUAAGACACCUGUGCAGCUAGGAUGGCAGAUGGUCCACUUACAUGGAUACUUAGCGAGUCAGGAUCAUAGUAUCUAGGCUGGGGAUGAACACUGUGGGCCACAUCCAACAGGCGUCGGUGACUGAGGAAUGACGGGGACGUUGGCACGUGGCAGGUGGGGAAUGUAGCAAAGCAGCGCCACGCACCUCAGACUGGGGAUUAUUAGGAGAUGUGAAAAUUGCUCUGCACGUUGCAGGGAGGUCUGGCUGGCAGGGCGCCCAGCUAACAUGAUCCCCUGCACAUUGAGUGCUUUAUGCCCCCGGCACCUUGCUGCCUGCUACCCAUGUGCGCAUUUGGGGUCUCUAACCUUUCAGGUGUGAGGACGAGCAGCAGUUCCAGGCCAGGCCAGCUAGGGGCGCUGGCGAUCCUUAGCACGGGGGGAACCCUACAGCCGUCUCCUGACUCUGAAAGAGCAGCAGACUGGUCAGCUUGAGGUGGCUAAGAUUUCUUUAGGAUCAGAAGUUUUCCUUUCCAGUGACCUAACUUCUUUACGUGGUACAAGCGCUUGUCAGCCGCGUCCCCUACCAUACUCUGGCUCCUAGGCCUGACUCGAGUCUGAGCUUGCACUACCCUUUGAGAAAACUCAGGACAGUCCUUUAAAAACAUACUGACACAGCCCUGUCAUCUAAUUGAGCCUUGAGAGAAAGGGGAGGCCACAGAAAGCUCACGGCAAUGGGGGAUCACGAAGCUGCCCGUGAGCCAUCCCGAGGUCAGUGGCCACAGUGGAGAUGGCCCGUGCUGCUGGGAGAAGGGCCGGAAGGUGACGCAGGCCGGUGGCCCCGCCGACGCUGCAUGCCCCGUUUGCCUUCACGUUGCAGUCUUCCCGUGAGCCGCUCAGGCUGAGGCACCGUGUCAGCUGCUGGAGGACUCCACGUGACAAGACGACCAGCGUCUCGCGUCACCGUCACACAGCAUGUAACAGAACACUUGCUCUCCCGAGACUGCGUGCGCAGCCCUCGGCACGCCCUCCCCUCCCCACUGUGCUGUGACUUCCUGCAACCCGCAGCCCACGUGUCCCGCAGAAAUGAACCCCUCUAAAACACGGCGUCCCCUCUAAAUCACGGCAUCGCGCUCGCCGUCAGGCCUCCAGUACUUCAUAGUGGGGUCUCUGAUGCUGGAACACAGGCCACCGCAGGCGAGUCUGGGUUUCAGCAACCAAGGACCCCGGCGUCACAGAGGGCAGGCAGUCGGCUGAUGGGAAAGUGACCUCUGUCCCUGCGCCUGUCCUUUUUCCUUCAGCCCCACGACUCGGAUACCACCGAUGAAAGCGAGUCACGAUUUUCUCGUCCCCCUGGCCCUGGUUGGGCCACUGCCAUGCCGUGGGGAGUCAGUCUCUUUCCUCAGUACCUCUCCCCUUCUCCCGAGACCGGCGUGGAUGCUGAGGGUGGGGUGGGACCCAACAGUUACCUGCGGCUGGGACAGCCCUGUUAGGCAGGCCCUGCUCCUGCCGUCCCAGCUGAUGGUGACAUGCGAGGAGGGCCUGCCCCCCACCCACUGACCCCUCUGACUGGGUCAUCAGAGAUGAACAGUUCGGACGCAUGGUUGAUAUAUAGCUAUGGAUGAUGUGCAGCUAUAGAAAGCUUGCGGGUCAAUAGCGAACGACAGUAGGGGGCAGGGUGACGGUUUCCCUUUGGGGGGAUGGGCAGCACAGGGCGUGGAGGAAGCAGGAAGCGGAAGGUCAGCGCCUUUCAGCUGUUCCCAGCGAUCCCUUCGGGCACCCUCAGUCACGCCUCCUGUGCCUUAGGCUGGGCCUCACCUGUCCUUUCUGCAGACCCCUUCCAGGGCGCGCCUGACUCCGAUGGCUUCGCCCGCUUUUGCUUCCCUUCCCUUCCCCUCCCCAGGCCCCCUGUAAUAGCGCCCACGCGGGCAGAGCUCUGCUGUGCACGAAGCCUCAGUGAGUGCUGGGACCGACACCCACGUGUCUCUCUGGACGUGCGGAGGAGCGGAGGGCAGGGAGGCGGGAGAGGGAGGCUGUGAAGUCCCAUAACGGAGUAACGAGCGCUUGACAUUUGAGUGGAUACGGCGCUCACGUGAAUAAAGGACACGAACCUGAGAGGCAGCAUCUGUGACACGGGAGGGCAGGAGGGGAGAAAAGGGAGGGCGGCCACAAAACCCCGUGCCUCAGUGCAGGAGGCACCGAGUGUCGCUUCAGAAACCCGUAACUUUCGAAGGUGGGUUGACGGGAAGUUGCGUUUCCGUCGCUACUUGUCGGAAUCACUGUCCUCGGGUCGCGCCACCUUCGUGGAGCUUUCCCUUGACCCCUGUUGAGAAACAACACAGAACAAGGGUUGCAACUUAGAACUCUGGUUCGAUCGCAGGGUGUUACAGGAGUAAUACCUCGUUUUUAAAGGUAGGAUCGGUGGGCCCGAGGCAGUGGCGCGAUGGCUCCAGACAGCCCCGGUCACCAGAUGCGGCAUAAGGAAACGCACAGUGAGCGCUCAGUCCUUGAACUUACUGUCAUUCCCCAGAGCAGGACCGAAUGACCAAAACCAAAAGAAGAGCUGCUUUGGGGAAGGGUUUGAAAAGAUCCUUUCAUCGAAGAAGGGAAAUGUCCGGUUAUGUCACUUGGGCUUUAAAGACACCUGUUCCCCACAUGGCUCAUGGACAUUGACACCAGCGUCAGCUUGUGGCCCGCUAGGCCACUCGGAGGCCUCGUGAUCUUGGAGAGGGUGCUGCUACUCUCUCCCCCUUUAGCAGGUGUUCGUCUUCAGUGAGUCCAGUACCUGAAGGAGCAAGAGGACAAGCACCCAGGUGACAGCAGUGUGGCCUUCUGAGUACACACAGCAACUGAAACGAUUAUAGGUUUGCCUGGGUCGUGCUGGGCUUGUUCUUCCAAAAUAAAAUUUUUCUUAAUGAUAAAAAGAUCAUUGUUAAAAAAUAAAAAAGGUAUCAAUUAAAAAGAAUGCCUGCAGUUAUAUAAUCCAAAAAAAUAAGUCAACAUUUGAGUUUAUUUCCUUUUGCUCUUAAAAAAAAAAGACAACAUAUACCAUAAUUUAAAACCAAAAUUGGCAUCACAUUGUAUAUGUUCUCUAACUUUUCUCAUUUGAAAGUAAAAAGGCAUCUGGGCAUAUCAUUAGCAUUCUUUGAGAACACAAUAUUAAAUGUUAAUAAUAUUUCACAUGGAGCUAACAAGCUAUAAGAUCCCAAGCUGCUAGACAUUUUUGAUAUCACGUUUUUAAAAUUAAAAUUAAUGAAGAUCAUUGUACAUUAAUUUCUAUGUGUAUCUUUCUCCAUAAAAAAAAUGUCUAGAAUUGGAAUUACUGAGUUUGAAAGAGAACAGCAUUCCUGGGGCACCUGAAAGGUUUUUAAUUGUCCUCAAUAUAUUCGUAGAAAAUAUAAUUUCUACGAAUAUAUAAAUGUACAUAUAAAUGUGCAUAUUUCUUUACACAUUCAUCAAAAUAGGGCUUCUCUAUAAAUCUCUGUUCAUUUGAUAAGCAAAAAUGUACAUGUUGUUUUAGAUUCUUCUAAUUUAUAUACAAAAAAUUUACUUUAUGGUAUAUAGUUCUGUGAGUUUUGACCAGUAUAAAGUCAUGUAUCCAGAGUCUAAGGGUAGAUCUGAAAGAUCAUUCAUGAUCCUUACACUGUAAACUCCUCCCCUUAAAUGUGGAUAGAACCUGUGUCUUCUAAUAAAUAAGAUAUGCCAAAUGUGGUGGGA